GACGAACGCUGGCGGCGUGCUUAACACAUGCAAGUCGAACGGAAAGGCCCUGCUUUUGUGGGGUGCUCGAGUGGCGAACGGGUGAGUAACACGUGAGUAACCUGCCCUUGACUUUGGGAUAACUUCAGGAAACUGGGGCUAAUACCGGAUAGGAGCUCCUGCUGCAUGGUGGGGGUUGGAAAGUUUCGGCGGUUGGGGAUGGACUCGCGGCUUAUCAGCUUGUUGGUGGGGUAGUGGCUUACCAAGGCUUUGACGGGUAGCCGGCCUGAGAGGGUGACCGGCAACAUUGGGACUGAGAUACGGCCAAGACUCCUACGGGAGGCAGCAGUGGGGAAUAUUGCACAAUGGGAGGAAGCCUGAUGCAGCAACGCCGCGUGCGGGAUGACGGACUUCGGGUUGUAAACCGCUUUCGCCUGUGACGAAGAGUGAGUGACGGUAAUGGGUAAAGAAGCACCGGCUAACUACGUG
rnacentral:rRNA from 1 species